CGAACGGGUGAGUAACACGUGAGUAACUGCCCUUGACUUUGGGAUAACUUCAGGAAACUGGGGCUAAUACCGGAUAGGAGCUCUGCUGCAUGGUGGGGGUUGGAAAGUUUCGGCGGUUGGGGAUGGACUCGCGGCUUAUCAGCUUGUUGGUGGGGUAGUGGCUUACCAAGGCUUUGACGGGUAGCCGGCCUGAGAGGGUGACCGGCCACAUUGGGACUGAGAUACGGCCCAGACUCCUACGGGAGGCAGCAGUGGGGAAUAUUGCACAAUGGGCGGAAGCCUGAUGCAGCAACGCCGCGUGCGGGAUGACGGCCUUCGGGUUGUAAACCGCUUUCGCCUGUGACGAAGCGUGAGUGACGGUAAUGGGUAAAGAAGCACCGGCUAACUACGUGCCAGCAGCCGCGGUGAUACGUAGGGUGCGAGCGUUGUCCGGAUUUAUUGGGCGUAAAGGGCUCGUAGGUGGUUGAUCGCGUCGGAAGUGUAAUCUUGGGGCUUAACCCUGAGCGUGCUUUCGAUACGGGUUGACUUGAGGAAGGUAGGGGAGAAUGGAAUUCCUGGUGGAGCGGUGGAAUGCGCAGAUAUCAGGAGGAACACCAGUGGCGAAGGCGGUUCUCUGGGCCUUUCCUGACGCUGAGGAGCGAAAGCGUGGGGAGCGAACAGGCUUAGAUACCCUGGUAGUCCACGCUGUAAACGGUGGGUACUAGGUGUGGGGUCCAUUCCACGGGUUCCGCGCCGUAGCUAACGCUUUAAGUACCCCGCCUGGGGAGUACGGCCGCAAGGCUAAAACUCAAAGGAAUUGACGGGGCCCCGCACAAGCGGCGGAGCAUGCGGAUUAAUUCGAUGCAACGCGUAGAACCUUACCUGGGUUUGACAUGGAUCGGGAGUGCUCAGAGAUGGGUGUGCCUCUUUUGGGGUCGGUUCACAGGUGGUGCAUGGCUGUCGUCAGCUCGUGUCGUGAGAUGUUGGGUUAAGUCCCGCAACGAGCGCAACCCUUGUUCACUGUUGCCAGCACGUUAUGGUGGGGACUCAGUGGAGACCGCCGGGGUCAACUCGGAGGAAGGUGGGGAUGACGUCAAGUCAUCAUGCCCCUUAUGUCCAGGGCUUCACGCAUGCUACAAUGGCUGGUACAGAGAGUGGCGAGCCUGUGAGGGUGAGCGAAUCUCGGAAAGCCGGUCUCAGUUCGGAUUGGGGUCUGCAACUCGA
rnacentral:rRNA from 1 species